ACUCUCGAAUUCUGGUGGGUUCCGGGCUCCGUGUGUUUGGAUCUGUAAACGGAGGGGGUUGGGCUCACCACGAUGAUCAUUUAAGGUCCUUUCCAGCUUGGACAUUCUCAGAUUCCACUUCCCUCUGGAGGGCCGCCCGGAGCUCUCACUGUCCGGCUCAGGGACGGGGGUCUGCGGAAACAGAAGCAGGGGGAAGAUCUCUGGCUGAAAAUCCGGAAGCUUCUCCAGCAUAUCCUAUGGGCUCCUUCACAGAAAGAAGUUUCUGCAUCUGUCCAAUGGGCAUUCAGACUCGUCGGCUUAAUGGAAGAAGCCGUGUUUGCAUUCCUCUUCUGAGGCCGAACCCCCAGACGCUCUGGCAGAUUCCACGUGGAGUCUGACCAGACAUGAGUCUGGCUGGGAAAGGGACAGGGCAGGCACAGGACUUCUGCCCGAAGGUUCUCCUGUCCACCGUGCUGUGUUCCAGUGAGGAUGUCCUGCUUUUCUCGUACUUCUGUGUGUUUCUGUUUUCACCUUUGUCCUAGUGAGCGUUGUUUAAAAAAAAAAAAAAUUCUUUUUGGUCAUACGGAACAGUCCUUUUUUAGGGGAGGGGGAAAGUACUAAAAUGAUACUGAGUAACAGGAAGUUAAUCUCCUUAGUCUGGUAAUGCAGGCUUCUAGUAAGUUAAUUGGAUUUUCCAGCUAAACGUGGAUAAAGUCAUUUACGCAGCAACAUUUCUCCAGAUGAGAUCGCUCGCUUAGAAUGCAGCGUGGCUCUGGUCUUCGGGCUCUCGGGCAUCAAUUGUGACGCUUGUCUGUAAACCUCGUUCCCUUGGACACGUCCUUACAGGAGCUGAUAAUGAAUGAAGGAAUCAGUGUUUCACGGGACACAUUUUGGGAAAUGCUCCUUUCAGCCAAAAGAGUGUCCGGACCCUUGCAUAGUUUCCAUUGCUGAUGGGACCUUCUGAGCACUGUCAACAUACCCACAGAGAAGGGGUUUCCAACUCACGUAAUCACACUCUCCAGUCAGAUGUGGAACAAGAAAAUACUUCCCAGAAAUGCAAAGAAGAAAACAAACCAAGUUCAUUGCCUUGGGUAACAUGAGUUCCUGCCCGUUUGAAAGUGGGAUCUUAAUCUUCCUAGAAGAUCUCUUUCUAGAUUUCUUCCAGAAAGAGAGGACACACCAUACCUUAGACAGUGUAGUUACGGGCAGGUGCUCUAUCACCUGGUACUGAGUCCCACUGCCAUCUACAAGAUUUAACAAUCAGUUGUAAGAACAUCUAACGUGAAGAAAUGUUUAAGAACUCAAGGGGUCUCUUGGGAUUGGAGGCCCAUCCAUUCCUGGAAAGGUUGAGAUAAGUCACAUGAUGCCUUUUCUGUAACCCCAACAUUUCUCCAAGGAAAUCUUUGAAGUAAAGAGUUCACAAAGGAGUAGACUGAGGACUGCAGUGGAGACAGUGGCAGGGGGGGGGGCGCGGGGGGAUGUUCCAUGGUUCCCUUCACUGUAGAGGCUGUUGGGAACAGGGGUUCAGUAAAGCAGACUGGAAUUUCCAGUAUCUGGUGCAUGGAUAAUGUUCUUUCACCUUUGGAUGUGUCCUUAGGUGACUGGACAGUGAGUAGAAGGUCUCAAAAAAGAGUCUGAUAUAGCAUCUGCCCUAGACCAGGAAGGAUGGGGCCAGGGCCCAGGAAACGGAUUUAGGCCCAGAGCGAACAUCUUUGUCCUCAGUUCUGUUAAAAGAUGGUGUCGGGGCGCCUGGGUGGCUCAGUCAAUUGGGCAUCCGACUUUGGUUCAGGUCAUGAUCUUGCAGUUUGUGAGUUUUGGCCCCGUGUUGGGCUCUGUGCUGACAGCUCAGAGCCUGGAGCCUGCUUCGGAUUCUCUGUCUCCUCCUCUCUCUGCCCCUCCCAUGUUCAUGCUCUGUCUCUGUCUCUCAACAAUAAUAAAUAAAUGUUAAAAAAAAUAAUCCAGUGAAGAAAUGGGCAAAAGACAUGAAUAGACACUUCUCCAAAGAAGACAUCCAGAUGGCCAACCGACACAUGAAAAAAUGCUCAACGUCACUCAUCAUCAGGGAAAUACAAAUCAAAACCACAAUGAGAUACCACCUCACACCUGUCAGAAUGGCUAACAUUAACAACCCAGGCAACAGCAGAUGUUGGUGAGGAUGUGGAGAAAGAGGAUCUCUUUUGCAUUGUUGGUGGGAAUGCAAACUGGUGCAGCCAUUCUGGAAAAAAGUACGGAGGUUCCUCAAAAAUUAAAAAUAGAACUACCCUACGACCCAGCAAUUGCACUACUAAGUAUUUAUCCAAGGGAUACAGGUGUGCUAUUUCAAAGGGGCACAUGCACCCCAAUGUUUAUAGCAGCACUAUUGACAAGAGCCAAAGUCUGGAAAGAGCCCAAAUGUCCAUCAAUGGAUGAAUGGAUAAAGAAGAUUGGUAUAUA